ACGAGUGUGAUAUGAAAGGGUGAGAGUGGGGUUUUCUGACUGACUUCCAUUUUGUGCCGCAGUAACUAUGCCACAUAAUGAUAAGAGAAUAACAAGGAUGUUUGCCUCAUGAAACAAGAUGUUCUAGAAGAAGGAUUCUUAGAAGAAUAGACAAGGACUCAUGUUGUUAUUCACCUAGAAUAGACAAGGACUUAUGUUGUUAUUUUCAGUAUAGACAAGGACUCAUGUUGUUAUUUACAGUUAGAUAAAAUGUUUCAGAACCCCCGGAAUGUACCCAUAUAUGGAUAGAUCAUGUUGUUGAACACGCGUUAUGUUAACCAAUCACAGUACUGCUUAUGCUAUUAUUCACCAAUCAGUGUAAGACAUAUGUUUUUUUAGUUUUGUAUAAAGGACGGGGAAUUUUAGGGGAAUUUCGGAAUCCACCUGAGACGCUAGCAGACGUGCUGCGUGUGAAUACCGAAUUUCCCCUUGAGACGAUCGUCUUGGGAUUCCCCGAUCCAGAGUGCUCAAGUGACGCUACAAUAUUCGCAGGUGCACAAGCCGCCAUUGCUAAGUCAUCUCAUGAGCCAGUGGCAGGAGAGACGAAGGAAUUGGAAUCAUGGUUGCAGGGUACAGCACUUUGGGCACACCAAAAGAGUGGACAUCUGGGAGAAAAGACAACUUACAGAUUGUCGUGAGGCUCAGUCUUGGAAUCCUUGGAAUUGUAUUAUUGGUCGUCCCCUCUAGUACAUGGACACCUGGAUUGAAGAUAGAGAAACGAGAGUUGCAUACUGUACGGUGGGGAUGGAACAAUGCCACCAAACCAAGAACCCAAGAUAAUUUCACUUGUCAGGCCAAUCAGCGCUGUACUAAUAUAGUAAAUAUAACAAUUCCAGGAACGAUGUGGGCUGGACCGCCUGAUCCACAAAGAAACAGAUAUCGACCUACAUUUGCCUUACAUCAGUCAGAAGGCAACAUCACAAUUAAUGCUGCAGUAAAUAUAAGUUGCUGCUCCAAACCUUAUAGGUUCCAAUUUCUCCCUAAAGAAGAGAAGAAUAAAGAAUACAAGAAUUGUUCUAAACAAGGAGCAACCACAUUUCGGUUAGCCGUAAAAGACGUUUUAAUUUUGGUAUGUCAUAAUGCUACUGAAAUAAAAAAUCGAACGUGGUGGGCACAAGAUUUAAUGUUUAUUGAUAUUAAUGCAUCACGAAUCGAUAUUGGACAUGUUAAAAGAUUACCAUCUACAUGUGAAAAUGUAGGUACACAAGCUCAAAAGACUGUGUUAGUCACACAAGUUGUUUUCCCUCCCAAUAAUAGACAAUGUAUAUCCCGGCAACGACGUGCCUGGUAUGAUACAUUGUUGGGAGAAUAUGGGACUCUAACAGGAGUAUUAAAUGGAAUAGAUAUUGAAACAUUAGCCAAUAGAAUGCAUAGCGCUGGUAGUAAAUUAAAUGACGGACUUACAUUACAAGCAAAAUGGAUGCCCACUAUUUUUGAGCCAGCCAAAAUAUCGGCUGGAAUAGAUACUUUAAUGAACCAGCUAAUUAAUGCUAGUAAUGAUUUUGCUGUUGGAUUUGACACCAACAUUACUAAAUUUAUAAAUUGGACCGUCUGUACACUACAGACUAUGUAUGAGCAACAACAAAAAGGCGUUAUGCAAACUAUGCUAAUGACCGGAAAUGAACAAGUAUGGAGAACAAUUUUUAAUACAAGUGUGUCCUGGGACGCUUGGAUACACUUGGAAGCUGCUAAAAUGAUUUGUAAUGACACCGUAUGCCAAUGUAUUUUAACUAUGUAUAAUGUAACCAAAGUUAUUCAAAUGUGUAAAUAUAUUGUAAUGCCUUUGUUGUUAGGACCAUCUGGUGAAGAAUGGUACUGGUUCCCCACUAUGAAAGGAGAAUAUAUAGAUGAGAAUAAUAGAACUCAUGAUUUGAGUAUUUGUACACCCACUUUACAAGGCAAGAUAUGUAGAGUACAAUCUGCAGUUUAUGAACCUUGCUUAUUAGAGAAUGGAGUAAAUUUAUGUAAAUGGAUAGUUUUACCUUUGUCAUAUACAAUGAUGAUGGAGGUAGCCCCACAGGAAGUAUGUUUGGUAACUGAUACACCAGCCAUACCUGGAAUGGUAGUUCCAUUUUCCGGAUGUAUUAGUAAUGUUAGUUCCUUAACCUGGGAAAAUUAGACAUUUAUAUUGUAUGCUGACCGUGAAGAACAUGUUACAAAAUAUUGGAGUCCACAAAAUUUAAGUAUUCCCCAAUGGGAUUUGAAGUUAGAUAAACUACAUAAAAUUAUGAAACAAUCCAAAGUUAUUGAAGAUCAUAUCAAAUAUCUAAACCAAUCUAUUGUAACUCAUCAAGUGACAACAACAAUAAUUGCUGAUCAAUUACAGAAAAUUGGUUCUGAUGUCCAGGAUGCAACUUCUCAUCAUUGGUGGGACUUGUUUACUGGAUAUUCUCCGUCUGCAUCCAAUAUGCUAAAUUUUCUGGUACAUCCUGUUCUCAUAUUGUGUAUAAUAAUAAUAAUUUUAUCUAUUUGGAACUGUGUGGUAUUUUACCGCAUAUGUUGUAAACGACAAAAGGUUGUAAUGGCAAGUUAUGCGUUAUAAUUGGAAUCAGUCAAGGGCCGUUUGUGAUACGAGUGUGAUAUGAAAGGGUGAGAGUGGGGUUUUCUGACUGACUUCCAUUUUGUGCCGCAGUAACUAUGCCACAUAAUGAUAAGAGAAUAACAAGGAUGUUUGCCUCAUGAAACAAGAUGUUCUAGAAGAAGGAUUCUUAGAAGAAUAGACAAGGACUCAUGUUGUUAUUCACCUAGAAUAGACAAGGACUUAUGUUGUUAUUUUCAGUAUAGACAAGGACUCAUGUUGUUAUUUUCAGUUAGAUAAAAUGUUUCAGAACCCCCGGAAUGUACCCAUAUAUGGAUAGAUCAUGUUGUUGAACACGCGUUAUGUUAACCAAUCACAGUACUGCUUAUGCUAUUAUUCACCAAUCAGUGUAAGACAUAUGUUUUUUUUAGUUUUGUAUAAAGGACGGGGAAUUUUAGGGGAAUUUCGGAAUCCACCUGAGACGCUAGCAGACGUGCUGCGUGUGAAUACCGAAUUUCCCCUUGAGACGAUCGUCUUGGGAUUCCCCGAUCCAGAGUGCUCAAGUGACGCUACAAUAUUCGUGUAAAUUCCACAGGUUUGGAAAUAGAUCCAGCAGACUGAUGUCUAAUCUAUUACGUGGACAACGUUCUUCUACAAUAAUCCAGUCUCUGAAACAUCCUAAUGGUAGCGGUGUGAAGUCUGGGUACCUGGAUUGGCAUCCUACAGCGUCUACAGCGCGGGCAGUGCUGUACUUCCUGGUGCCGACAGCCGUGACCCCUCAGCACGACCUCAAAAUCGCCCUGCUCCAGCACUGAGAUGGUCAGUCACGCUCCUGUUUUUAUAAACAACAUCUCCUGUCACCUGUAAACCAUCCAUCCUCCAGACACGCAAGUGUGGACAAUGUGAAACUUGAACAACCACAGCUUUUCCAGCCACAUUUCUGUACAGUACUAGGAUUUAUGUGAACAAACACCCCAAAAAACAAAAAAAGAAGACUUAAAAACUAUCAACAAAAUAAUCGAUGGUAGACUGUCCUGUUUACAUCAUGUGCUACGUACAGUCCCACCACAAUGGCUUCCAACACAGUGAUAGGAGAAGAGGAACAUUGCAUCUGCAGAGGUGGCCCGACACAGGCCCGGUCUAUUUACUAGAAACUACUAUAAUUUGAUAUAUAAACUUAUAAUUAGAAAAGAGUGAAGCAAUCAAUUGAAAAGUACUGAAUGGUUCUGCUGUAGACUGAAGAUUUAUUUGUUGAUCAGGCAUUGUUGUUUUGUGUGCGGUGAGCU